rnacentral:rRNA from 1 species
UACGGGGGGGGCAAGCGUUGUUCGGAAUUACUGGGCGUAAAGGGCUCGUAGGCGGCCAACUCAGUCGGACGUGAAAGCCCUCGGCUUAACCGAGGAACUGCGUCCGAUACUGGAUGGCUUGAGUGUGGGAGAGGGAUGCGGAAUUCCAGGUGUAGCGGUGAAAUGCGUAGAUAUCUGGAGGAACACCGGUGGCGAAGGCGGCAUCCUGGACCACGACUGACGCUGAGUGAGCGAAAGCCAGGGGAGCAAA